GACGAACGCUGGCGGCGUGCCUAAUACAUGCAAGUAGAACGCACAGUAUAUACCGUAGCUUGCUACACCAUAGACUGUGAGUUGCGAACGGGUGAGUAACGCGUAGGUAACCUGCCUGGUAGCGGGGGAUAACUAUUGGAAACGAUAGCUAAUACCGCAUAAUAUUAAUUAUUGCAUGAUAAUUGAUUGAAAGAUGCAACUGCAUCACUACCAGAUGGACCUGCGUUGUAUUAGCUAGUAGGUGAGGUAACGGCUCACCUAGGCGACGAUACAUAGCCGACCUGAGAGGGUGAUCGGCCACACUGGGACUGAGACACGGCCCAGACUCCUACGGGAGGCAGCAGUAGGGAAUCUUCGGCAAUGGACGAAAGUCUGACCGAGCAACGCCGCGUGAGUGAAGAAGGUUUUCGGAUCGUAAAGCUCUGUUGUAAGAGAAGAACGGGUGUGAGAGUGGAAAGUUCACACUGUGACGGUAUCUUACCAGAAAGGGACGGCUAACUACGUGCCAGCAGCCGCGGUAAUACGUAGGUCCCGAGCGUUGUCCGGAUUUAUUGGGCGUAAAGCGAGCGCAGGCGGUUAGAUAAGUCUGAAGUUAAAGGCUGUGGCUUAACCAUAGUACGCUUUGGAAACUGUUUAACUUGAGUGCAGAAGGGGAGAGUGGAAUCCCAUGUGUAGCGGUGAAAUGCGUAGAUAUAUGGAGGAACACCGGUGGCGAAAGCGGCUCUCUGGUCUGUAACUGACGCUGAGGCUCGAAAGCGUGGGGAGCGAACAGG
rnacentral:rRNA from 1 species